GUUCUGUCUUCUGAGACUAUCUUGGAUGGCAAGAAGAAACAGGAAGGAAGAAAAGAUAUAAAAAGAGAGAAUAAUGGACAACACUUGAGGAAGAUUUGACUAGGAAGCAGUCAUAGCCGAAUCAAAAUCAAUGACUCAAGCUUUCAAAGAAAUGGAACAUAUAUCCUCAAAUGCCAG